rnacentral:rRNA from 1 species
UUUCGGCCGAAUAUCUAAGGUUUCCAGAGUAAAGCUGAUCUGCUCUGGGUAAGUCGGGGCCUAAGCACAGGUCGCAAGACGUAAGCGAUGGAUAACAGGUUUAGAUUCCUGUACCACGCAUUAUCAGAACUGUAGGGACGCAUGUGGAAAGCACGGGCCGGGAAUGGAAAGACCGGUACAAGCGGGGUAGGAGUACAAUAGGCAAAUCCGUUGUAUGAUCCGAAGACGUGAUGUGGAGCGAAAUAAAGUAGUGAAGCGUGUGAGCCAUGUGCCGAGAAAAGCUGCUAUUGUGUAAUGCGUGCCCGUACCGUAAACCGACACAGGUGGAUGAGGAGAGAAUCCUAAGGCCGACGGAAGAAGCAUUGUUAAGGAAUUCGGCAAAAUGACCCCGUAACUUCGGGAGAAGGGGUGCCUGCGAGAGCAGGCCGCAGAGAAUAGGCUCAAGCAACUGUUUAGCAAAAACACAGGUCUAUGCGAAACCGAAAGGUGAAGUAUAUGGGCUGACGCCUGCCCGGUGCUGGAAGGUUAAGAGGAGAGGUUAGCGUAAGCGAAGCUUUGAAUUUAAGCCCCAGUAAACGGCGGCCGUAACGAUAACGGUCCUAAGGUAGCGAAAUUCCUUGUCGGGUAAGUUCCGACCCGCACGAAAGGCGUAAUGAUUUGAGCACUGUCUCGACAAUGCAUCCGGUGAAAUUGAAGUACCAGUGAAGAUGCUGGUUACCCGCGCCAGGACGGAAAGACCCCAUGGAGCUUUACUCCAGUUUGAUACUGGGAUUCGGUACUGCAUGUACAGGAUAGGUGGGAGACGGAGAAGGAUGGACGCCAGUCUGUCCGGAGUCGCUGUUGGGAUACCACCCCUGUAGUACUGGGUUUCUAACCAGUUACCAUGAUCUGGUAAUGGGACAAUGUCAGGCGGGGAGUUUGACUGGGGCGGUCGCCUCCGAAAGGGUAUCGGAGGCGCUCAAAGGUUCCCUCAGAAUGGUUGGAAACCAUUUGAAGAGUGCAAAGGCAGAAGGGAGCUUGACUGCGACACCGACGGGUGGAGCAGGUACGAAAGUAGGACUUAGUGAUCCGGCGGUAUAAAGUGGGAUUGCCAUCGCUCAACGGAUAAAAGCUACCCUGGGAUAACAGGCUUAUCACUCCCAAGAGUUCACAUCGACGGAGUGGUUUGGCACCUCGGUGUCGGCUCAUCGCAUCCUGGGGCUGUAGCAGGUCCCAAGGGUUGGGCUGUUCGCCCAUUAAGCGGUACGCGAGCUGGGUUCAGAACGUCGUGAGACAGUUCGGUCCCUAUCCGGCGCGGGCGGAGGAUAUUUGAGAGGAGCUGUCCUUAGUACGAGAGGACCGGGAUGGACGGACCACUGGUGUAUCUGUUGUCGACAAACGGCAUGGCAGAGUAGCCAAGUCUGGAAGGGAUAAACGCUGAAGGCAUCUAAGCGUGAAGCCCCCCUCAAGAUGAGAUAUCCCUCCUUCGGGAGUAAGACCCCUUGAAGACUACAAGGUAGAUAGGGCAGAGGUGGAAGCAUGGCAACAUGUGGAGCUGACUGUUACUAAUAGGUCGAGGGCUAAA